rnacentral:lncRNA from 12 species
GUCAGGGAAAAUAAAAGAAAAACACUGUAGUUAAAAUAUUGAAUGUUCGCAGAUGAAAGUUUAGUACUUAUGAAGUUAUUGUAGUGUUUAGGAUAUGCAGUAUGAAGUUAACGACAGUGAUGUUUUACGACAUUGACGCACGGUGGUACGCCGGCCGUCUUACGUUGUGAAACCGACAGAAUGUUAGCACUAAGCCUGCGAGGGAUGGCUGUCUAUGUGAGAACUGUCUAAUGUGUUAUCACAGUAAAGCAUACUGAGUACAUACGUCUGGUCCUUGCCUAAUUCCUGAACGAGAACAUCACAUUGGCGACGAGGAUAAUCAACGACAAAGGCUAAAAAAAAUUAAAUAAAAAAAAGAUGUCGCUUGGAAACACUGUCGCUCUGCCAGCCUUCGAUACCGAAACGGAUCCGAGUUCAGUAGGACCACGCUGGACAAAAUGGAUACAAAGGUUUGAGAACUAUAUUACAGCAGUAAACAUUACCGGAGAUGCGAGGCAGAAAGCAUCACUACUGCACUUAGCGGGAGAGCGCGUGCAUGACAUCUAUGACACGCUAGCAGCAGAGCAAGAUAAGUUUGCUGACGUUAAGAUGAAGCUAGGCACAAAUUUUACACCUAAAAAGAACGUUCAGUAUCAAGUAUAUAUAUUCCGAAAGGCAGUGCAACAGCCGGGCGAGAACCUAGACACAUACUGUACCAGACUACGCAUGCUAGCAAAGAACUGUGAAUUUGCCGACGUAAACCAUGAAAUUAAAGCACAGCUGAUCCAAAGCUGCAGUUCAACCAGGCUGCGUAGAAGAGCGCUCAGAGAACCCGGAAACAGCCUGGAUGAUCUUCUCGAAUAUGGGAGAACUUUAGAACUGUCCGAGCAACAAGCAGCCGGCAUGGAACAGAGUGUAGCUGCAUCAGUGAAUGCAGUGCAUCAGAAUGGGCGAACAGCUACCAGCCGACGCGCCGGGAGAGCCAAGCCCAACGUCCAGUGCAGGAAUUGUGGUGGAAAUUAUCCACAUGAUGGAAACUGCCCAGUGAAAGGAAAAGACUGUAAAGCAUGCGGGAAACUAAACCACUUCGCCAAGCAGUGCAGGGCAAAACAAAGAACACCUGGAAAAGACUUUGAAAUAAAACACAGAGACAACAGCAAGCAACACAAAAUGCACAAGAAAGUGUAUAAC